UACGGGGGGGGCAAGCGUUGUUCGGAAUUACUGGGCGUAAAGGGCCAGUAGGCGGCCAACUAAGUCCGACGUGAAAUCCCAAGGCUUAACCUUGGAACUGCGUCGGAUACUGGAUGGCUUGAAUUCGGGAGAGGGAUGCAGAAUUCCAGGUGUAGCGGUGAAAUGCGUAGAUAUCUGGAGGAAUACCGGUGGCGAAGGCGGCCAUCUGGACGGUAACUGACGCUGAGACGCGAAAGCGUGGGGAGCAAACAGG
rnacentral:rRNA from 1 species